GGCUUCCUCAUGCUUAACAACAGGUUGUCUUCUUCUUCUGUCCGUAUAGAAAGAGGAGGAAGUGUCAACCUACCCCAGGUACAUCUCCGCCCAGGCUACUGUACCAGGGAUGUCUGUGAAAGGGGAGACCUUG